GCUGAUGAGUUGAAUCAGGUGUGAUAGAUGAGGGAGACAUACAAUAUGUGCAAGGCUGGGGGUACUCUAGGACAGGUUUGAGAAUCACUGGCCUACACUGAAUGUUUCACA